CCCACAAAAUAAAAACUGGAAACCCACAUUUUCUUUGCUCCUACAUUUUCACUGGCGGCCUACCUUCUCCUUUCUCCCUUUGCUCCUACAUUUUCUUAUCUUUUUCUGGUUGAAAUUUGUGGGUCAAGUAACUCUUUUGAUUUACUUUUUCUUUUGUAGGUUUUACAAAGUGGAGGUCUAAAAGAGACGUUACAUUGGAUCAUACUUCUGUGGAUGUGAAGCUUAGUGAUGCGGAGAGUAAGCUUACUUUACCCUGAGAUGAAAGAAGAUGAUGGGGUGCAACAGCUCUAAUCACCGAGCAAAUGUUUAGUGCUUUUUUAUGUUUUAUUGAUAUAGAACUAUUUUUGUUCUUUUUGGAUUUAAAGUUGUAACAAUUAACUUAUAAUAUACGAGUUUGUAUUACUUGAGUUUGACAUGAAUAUAAUUUAAAUUCAUGUUACUUCUUA